rnacentral:rRNA from 1 species
AUUGAACGCUGGCGGCAUGCCUUACACAUACAAGUCGAACGGUAACAGGUCUUCGGAUGCUGACGAGUGGCGAACGGGUGAGUAAUACAUCGGAACGUGCCCGAGUGUGGGGGAUAACGAGGCGAAAGCUUUGCUAAUACCGCAUACGAUCUCAGGAUGAAAGCAGGGGACCGCAAGGCCUUGCGCUCACGGAGCGGCCGAUGGGAGAUUUAGGUAGUUGGUGGGAUAAAAGCUUACCAAGCCGACGAUCUGUAGCUGGUCUGAGAGGACGACCGGCACAACAGGGACUGAGACACGGCCCAGACCCCUACGGGAGGCAGCAGUGGGAAAUUUUGUACAAUGGGCGAAAGCCUGAGCCAGCCAUGCCGCGUGCAGGAUGAAGGCCUUCGGGUUGUAAACUGCUUUUGUACGGAACGAAAAGACUCUGGUUAAUACCCUGGGCUAAUGACGGUACCGUAAGAAUAAGCACCGGCUAACUACGUGCCAGCAGCCGCCGUAAAAC